AACCGGCAGGAGAAGAACGCUUUUGAAUUAAGACCAAGGACAACAAUCAAGUUUGGUAUGAAACACAUUAAUCCUUCAAACUCCAUGUAUACAUUAUCUGCUAUAUUGUUCUAGCACUAUGGAAUAAUAACUAUAUGCAUAUGCAUUGACAAUAAAGACGACAUGUAGAAGAUUUCAUUCGGAUGUACAUAACAUAGCCUUCCAUCCUUAACCUACACAGUUUAAUCAACUGUGUAGGUUUGUUUAAUUUAAUCUCAUUAUUAUAUACUUGUAGCAGAACAAACAUAAAUUAGCAAAUAGUAUUCUCUAGUCUCUACAUUCUGCAUUUCUUUAGGGAGAGGCAUUCUUCUUCAUAUUGACACUCUUCGCUGUUGAAAUGACAAAGAACAUAUCAGAUUUGAUAAAACAUUCAAAGCAAGUAUUCUAUAUCUUUUGAUUGAAUAAACUCACAUUCUUGCAUCUCAAAAAACAUAAAUAUAGAAAAAUGUUAUUUUGACACAAACACUGUAUGCAUCAUGUUACACGAACAUGAUUAAUGGAUUUCAAAUACAUGGUUAAUUAUGUGUAGUCGACGGUUAAUGCAUAUCAUGUGUUAUGUGUAUUUGAACACAGUGAUUUUUUGACACAAUAUUGUGCCAAAGAUCACUGGAUGAAUAUAACAGGAUGCUGUAACAGGAUGCUGUAAUUCGUUAACCAUCCAUUGAACGUAAUUGAACCUGUACUUUUACUGUGUCAAGUGUCAACCCUAUAAUAAAGUUCACGUGGCAUUUAUAUAUAGUGUCGUACAUUGUCAACAAAUUGUGUGUCAAAAUAACUCAACUGAUAAAUAAAGUCCUUUGAAGAAUCACCUCAUUAAGUUAUGGUGCUAUCCUAAAAUAACAUUAUAUUAGGACAAAUAAAGAGAUAGGAAGGAGAUUAUAAAGAAUUUACCAUUGCUUGGUUGUGGAGAAGAAAAUGGGGAGAAAGGUAAUAGUGAAAAGGAAAAUGGGAAGAAAGAAAAAAGUGAAAAAGAGUAGAUUUUUAUAAUAAUAUUUAGCAUUUAGCAUGAGUAAAAACAAGAAGAAAUUAAUAUUGAGUCCUCUCCGCUUGUUUGCUUUGAUUGAAAAAUAAGAAAUAAGGAAAACAUUGUUUACUUAAAGUACAAAACACCCAUACACCCAUAUAAUUAGAAAGCAAAAGACAUGGAAUUGUUGGCCAUUAAAUUGAUGUGCCAGUUUAAAAUGAUCUAUUACGAAUUUAGAGUGGUAUACCAGAAUGAUUAAUACUUGUAGCAAUUGAUUACAUGUAGUGUAUACAUGAUAACAAAUUUACCCUCCCAAGUCAGAAUGACAUAAGUCUAAUAAUAAAUGCAAUAAUUUAUUAUUAGUAUUGUGGUACAGAAUCAACAAAUUACACUACAAAUGGUUGUGCUUAUUAUCCUUUGAGAACGGUUAGCUGCCAGGAAAUGCAUUGUUUUCAGUGCUGCACUAGAUAUACAAUAUUAUUAUUAUUAUUAUUAUUAUUAUUAUUAUUAUUAUUAUUAUUAUUAUUAUUAUUAUUAUUAUUAACACAAAACACAAACACUGCCUUAAAAUCAGAGUCUACUCUUGAUUGGGAACCGGAGGGUUAAGACCACAAACAAUAGUCUACUCUUGUGAAACUUUAACUAAGCAAAAUAGAGCCAUAGUAAACUCAUGCAUCCCUCAUCUUGAAGCUCUUCUUCUGUCAAAUUAAGAUCCUGAUAAACAUUAAACAGGAACCCCAACAAAAAUCAAAUCGGGAAACCACAAAAAAAAGGUCAUGGUACUCAUCAUGCAUCGUCAGAAAUUCUACCAAAUCACCCAGCUCCAUUGCAAAAACACUGCUUCCUAUACACAUUGACCUAAGUCGUGACAUCCCCCUAGGUAAUCCCAAGACCCUACCACCCAAAUCCACAUACCACCGGCCAUCACUUCAAAAUACAUUGACCAGUGACCAGCCGCUGCACCCCAAACUGAGCUUACAUCAACAAUGCACAAUGGUGUAGGGGUAGAUAAGACGAUGCUUGUUAGUGAGGUGAAGACAGUUACUGCAAAGAAGAUGCUUCUCGGGGCAAAGGGCACGAAAGUGUGAGGAUAUUACCAGAAGAGCCAAAAAGUGCCCAUUUUCUCCACUGCUUUUAUUCAUAAAAUGCAGAUAUUGCAAAAUGUGAGACCGGAUUUUAUCUCUCCAAACAAGGGAGACUCUCUUUUUCACCCACACAAAUUUACUCCUCUCUUUCCUUCUAAAUAUAUCAAGAUAUCCGAAAUAGNNNNNNNNNNNNNNNNNNNNNNNNNNNNNNNNNNNNCUCACUUCAAAUUUUAAUAUCUUGAUAUAUUCUAUGAAUUGAAACCCAAUGAAAUAAAGUACAUAAUAUUACACAGUGCUAUAUAUGUAUUAUGUAUUACUUGCAACAUCUGCAUAAAGAUGUAUCUAUAAUUUUAUUUUAUUUUCUAAUUGCAACAAAUGAAUUGCAAUGCUUGAACUCACUUGAAUCAUUUAAUUCCCCAAUUCAGCUAAAAAUAAACUCAAUCUAAACCAAUUCAAGCCUUAAUACACAAAAAACAUGAUAAUAAUAAUAUUUGCAAUAGAUAGUAAGUAAAUCAGUUCCAUUGAAAUAGAAAAGUGAAAUAUUAUUAGGAAGAAAAAAAAGAAUACCAUAGAUUCAAGAUGAUUAUCAAUAGAAGAAACUUCAUGGCGAAUAGCAAACAAAGCAUCAGCAGCGGCAAUGAAGGAACGAUAAUUACCAACUGCAACCUCUUGCAUUUGGCGACGGAUCCGUUCGGCAUCGACGCGAAGAAGUUCAAGUUCCUUGUGAAGACGAUCGAGAGUGAAGGAGAGAAGUUCAGAGACAUAAGGUUGUUGAGAUUCAGAAGCUAAAGGAAGAGGAAUGGGAAUCUCCUCCAUAUCCGAUGAUCCUGAAACUACACCUUCCCACUCCAUUAUUAUGUUGUUGGUGUAGAUAGAUCUGGAUCGGGUUAAACGGAAAGAGGUUUGUUUGUUCUCAGGUGGUGAUUCUUUUUUGGCUGGAAACCUUUUUUAAUAGAUUUGAGUAGAUGAUGAGGUUGAGAAUGAAAAUGGCGGAGCAAGGUUGGGUUGUUUGUUAGAUUAAGAAUGAAAAGAACCAGAGAAAGACUAAAUGAGAAGAUGGAGGAGCAGUGAGCAGUAACGACGGUGAUGCUAUGAUGUUAUUGGGAAAAAUGACCGAAUAGAUUGUUAUCUAUUUUAUUUUUUUCAAACUUGACUCGUUUUAAGUUUAGGAACAACUCGGUUUGGCUAGGUCGGUUCAACUCGUUGAGUGAAUCAGUAAAUUUGUUGGUCAAAAUUUCAAAUCUUUAAUUUUUUAAACUAUUUUUUUUAUAAAAAAAAUCAAAUAUUAAAAUAAAAUAAACGUCAUUAUAAAUGUGUACGAAAUUCAGAUCGGCAUAAAUAUGCAGAAAAAUGUAUAAAACCAACCAAAAACCGAUAGAAGUAACAAAGUUUAGAAAUAUAUUAAAUAACUGAAUUAGUUCACGGGUCAAACUAUAUAUCAACGGGUUGUUCAAAAAUGAUUGUCUUAGAUGAUGAUGAUGAUUCAGCUGGUAGGAGUUGUGUGUGGUGAUACUGAGGUGAUUUCUUGGUCUUUAUGGGGGAAAAUGUACCUGCGACAAUGUUAGUGCGUCAACGCUCAAGUUUGUAUUUGAAUGUGGUAAAAGAGAGUGUAAAUUGAAGGCGCGGAGGCCAUACUUAGAGAUUGAUAUAUGAAUGUUUAUAUAUAGUAGAAUAUUAGGGUUUACAGUAUAGUGAGGUCCCCAUGUGUAGAGGAUCUGCCACAUAUAACACAUGAAUUAUCCUUUGUUUUGGGAGCAUGUUUGGAUAUUGGGAGCGUAUAGCCCUUAUACGUGCUCGUGUAUUGAUAUUGUGGUCGCUCGUGCCACUUGCUAUUCUNNNNNNNNNNNNNNNNNNNNNNNNNNNNNNNNNNNNNNNNNNNNNNNNNNNNNNNNNNNNNNNNNNNNNNNNNNCGAUUCUUGUAUGACUCUCGUACGACAUGUGUUAGAUAGUUAAGACAGCUGUUUAAAAAAAAAACAUUUUUCCUUUACUCUGGAACUCCUUAGAUCGGUAUCCGACGCCUAUAAGAUACUCGUACAACACGUGUAGGUUUCUACUUUGACUAAAGAUGUCUCGAAACUAAGGAAUCAAAAAGAUUACGGGCCUGUUUGUUUCAGAUUUUUCACCAAAAAAUCUAUUUUUGCCAAAAAAAAAUCUAUUUUUUUUAUCUUACUUGUGUUUGUUUCAGAUUUUUUCAAAAAUCAUUUUAGUAAAAAAAUCAAUUUUUUCAUCAAAAAUGAAAAUCUAUUUUCAAUAGCUUUUAUCAAAAUUCAUUUUUUUUUUUUAUCAUUCAUCAUCCCUCACCAUCUUAAAAAAAUAGAUUUUAGUGAUUGUAAACAAACGGCAAAUAGCUUUAGAUUUUUUUUCAAAAUCUCUACAAAAAAAUAUUUUUCUUGAAAAAAAAUCGUUUUUUUAAAUCUCAAACAAACGGACCCUACAUUUGAUUACAAUAUUUUUAAUUUUUUUUAUAGUAGAUGGAUAAAUUAAGGUCAAAUAUUAUUGUAUAUUGUUUUAUGUUAAUUUUUUGUAAAUCAAAAGUAUCUUCUGCGCGCAACUAUAGAAACUAACACCAUCGAGAUAAUUGUGAUAGAUUUAAGUGAUUGGCAUCUCUUAAGAAAUGAUUUAAAUUUUUUUAAUGAAAUAACUUGUUCAACUUAGAUGCACAUGUAUACAUUUUGAUUUUCAACUUAGAUUUUUUAUAAAUAUGUCACAAUGUCGGUGUUCUAUAUAUUUUACAUUAACAAUGUGUCCGUAUCGUAUUAAAUGUCAGUGUCGAAAUCCGUGUUUCAAAAAUAAUUUAAUGAUCUUUAAAUAUUAAACUUAAAAAAGUAUACCAACUAAAUUUAGUACAACGUGAAAUUCUGCUCAAUCAUGCUUCCGUUCCAACACGAAAAAUGCAAAAUUUCUAAAAGACAAAAGAAGAAUCAAAACAAGUAAGACGUACCGUACAAAUUAUUCAUCUUGCGGGGAUAGCUCAGUUGGGAGAGCGUCAGACUGAAGAUCUGAAGGUCGCGUGUUCGAUCCACGCUCACCGCACAGUAUGUUUUUAAUCUCCUUUUGCUUAUUUUCGUUAAUUACUUUCCUUUUUGUAUUGCGUGUUUGGUUGCAAUUUUUACUCUCCUCUUUUCUACCAAGAUGGAAAUUAGGCUUUUACUAAUAAGAUGAAACCAAGUGAUGAUUUCUGUGUUUUGAUUAGUAUCUUAUGAACUUUUUCCCUUUUGUAAAUUUUUUUUCCGAAAUCUUCCAUCAUUAAAAUGUGUCAUAGGGUAAUGAAUUAUGAGUAGGGGUGCUCAAAUCCAAACCAACCCAAAAAAUAACCGCAAACCGAUCCAAAAAAACCGAAAAACCGAAUAUUUUUGGAUGUGUUUGGAUGUCCUUUUGUGAAAACCGCUGGAUCGGUGUGUUAUUUUCAUAUUAUCUUGUAAUUGACCUUUUCAGACAACAAAUCUAUUGAAAAAGUAAAUAUACUGAUUAGUUCAAAUUUGUUGUGAUUUUGGCAAUCGGCAGGAGAAGAACGCUUUUGAAUUAAGACCAAGGACAACAAUCAAGUUUGGUAUGAAACACAUUAAUCCUUCAAACUCCAUGUAUACAUUAUUUGCUAUAUUGUUCCAGCACUAUGGAAUAAUAACUAUAUGCAGAUGCAUUGACAAUAAAGACGACAUGUAGAAGAUUUCAUUCGGAUGUACAUAACAUAGCCUUCCAUCCUUAACCUACACAGUUUAAUCAACUGUGUAGGUUUGUUUAAUUUAAUCUCAUUAUAUACUUGUAGCAGAACAAACAUAAAUAAGCAAAUAAUAGUCUCCAGUCUCUACAUUCUGCAUUUCUUUAGGGAGAGGCAUUCUUCUUCAUAUUGACACUCU
rnacentral:lncRNA from 1 species